rnacentral:rRNA from 1 species
AGCGAACGUUUGCGGCGGGCCUAACACAUGCAAGUCGAACGGGCUGUCCUUCGGGGCGAGUCAGUGGCGCACGGGUGCGUAACACGUAGGUAAUCAACCCUUGGGUUCGGGGAUAACACUGCGAAAGAGGUGCUAAUACCGGAUGCGACGGUCGGGACUUCGGUACCGAUCGGGAAAGAUCCGCAAGGAUUGCCCGAGGACGAGCCUGCGGCCCAUUCAGCUUGUUGGUGAGGUAAAAAGCCUCACCAAGGCUAAGACGGGUAGCUGGUCUGAGAGGAUGAUCAGCCACACUGGAACUGAGACACGGUCCAGACUCCUACGGGAGGCAGCAGUGGGGAAUAUUGCGCAAAUGGGACAAAGUCUGACGCAGCCACGCCGCGUGAAGCGAUGAAGGCCCUCGGGUCGUAAAGCUCUGUGGGGAGACGAAGAAUAAAGCCGGUGAAGAGCCGGCCCUGACGGUAUCUCCUUAGCAAGCACCGGCUUAACUCCGUGCCAGCAGCCG